rnacentral:rRNA from 1 species
AUUGAACGCUGGCGGCAGGCCUAACACAUGCAAGUCGAACGAGUGGCGGACGGGUGAGUAAUGUCUGGGAAACUGCCUGAUGGAGGGGGAUAACUACUGGAAACGGUAGCUAAUACCGCAUACCAUCAGAUGUGCCCAGGUGGGAUUAGCUUGUUGGUGGGGUAACGGCUCACCAAGGCGACGAUCCCUAGCUGGUCUGAGAGGAUGACCAGCCACACUGGAACCGAGACACGGUCCAGACUCCUACGGGGGGCAGCAGUGGGGAAUAUUACACAAUGGGCGCAAGCCUGAUGCAGCCAUGCCGCGUGUAUGAAGAAGGCCUUCGGGUUGUAAAGUACUUUCGUCGGGGAGGCGUUACCCACAGAGGAAGCACCGGCUAACUCCGUGCCAGCAGCCGCGGUAAUAC